UGUUAUCAGCUAGCAAACAAUGGAAUUAUCCAAGUGUAGCAUCCAAUGUAUCUAUUAUAUUUUUUUAUAUAGAUUAAAGAGAGGGGAAAUGCAUUAUUUUCAUUAAUUAUGCUUUAUUGCUACCACAUGUCCACAAAAUCCGGCCAUUCCAUCUAGAAAUCACCUAUGGGCUGUAGUAUUACCAUCAAUCAGCCAUUACAAUCAUUUCAUACAUUAUUUUAUGGAUCUAAGAGAGAGAAAUGUACCAUUUUUGGCCUAUUUAUUCACAAGCACUUAGCUUCAUUCUCUCAAGCUUAAACCUACGAAAUUUCCUUACCAUAUCAGUCUAUAAUCAAGCCCCAUUCACACCAACAACAAAUCAGAAGCAUCAAAGGAUCAAAAUCAAGAAAUCAAAGCUAGAAAAGGUAAAAACCCUAAAUUCUAGAAAUCCUUCGAUUCGAUGUUAAUUGGUGCAAUUGAUUGUUUAAAGUUGUGUAAUAGGGAGUCUAUUAAUGUUCUGGGUUGUUAAAUUCAGGACCCAUAACAUCAAAGUGCUCAAAAUCAAACUUUUUCCAACUUUUAUAAAACCGAAUUCUGUUAUUUUUGGGCAAAUGUCAAGCCUUAUAUCUCUGUGGUUAUUUACUAUUUUUGGUGUUUGUAAGAUUUUAUGUGUAGCUUGUUAUGAGGUAGUUAAGAUUCAAAAAGAAUCAAGGCCAUAUCUAUUAUAUAUCACAAGAUAUAAACGGUCAAAACCCCGUUAACCAAAACUGCCAAAAUCGCGAAUCCAGAAAUUUUGUGCAGAAUUUCCGUGGUUCACUUUGACUGGGUAUUUAUGGUUAGCUCUGAUGGUAUUAUGUUGAUGUUAAGGUUUGAAGUUGUAGUCCUACAUGUUGUCGACACACUGGAAGUGAUAGAGCACAAAAAUGUUACACGAUAACCAAGUUAUAGAGGUCCAAAGUAGGCACCUCGAAGCUGUUUUUCGUGAAGAACAGCUUUGGCAGCUACUUUGAGGUUCGAUUUCUCCCAGAUAUGAUGUUUUUUAGAGGUCAUGUUUGUUGGAUCUUGUAGUCUUGUAUUUCCUCUACAAUACAAAAUUUAUAGAUUGUCCAAAUUCGUUAAGAUGAGAGAGUUAUUCACGGUCAAAGUAGGCCACUCGGUUCUGCCUUAUGAAGAUCUGGGUAGGCUCAAGAACACCUAUAGCGACGGUUCUGUCACUAUAGGGGCCUUUAGCGACAGUUUUAAUUAUUUUAAUUUCUGAUUUUCCGGAAAUUAAUUUAAAAAUUAGAAAAAUUAGUUUUUAAUUAUUAAAAAUACCAAAUAAAUUAUGAAAAAUUAUUUUAAAGUCUGAAAAAUAGUUUUUAAUUAUUUUGAGUAUAUUUCAUAAAUAUUUAAUAUUUUUGGAAUAUAAAAGGUAUUUAUUUAUUUAAUUAUAAUAUUAAAUAAAUGAUUUAAAAAUAGUUUUAAUUCAUGAAAAAUCAUGAAAAAUUAUUUUAUGGUAUAAGAAAAUAUUUUGAGUUAUUUUCCAUGACUUUUAAUAUUUUGUGAUGAAUUUCAUUAAUUAAUUAUAUAUUAAUGAUAUUAAAGUUAUUUAAUGAUUAUAUUAAAUAAUUUAGUUUAAAAAUGAUUUUAAUAUUAUAAAAAUCAUUUUAAAUGAAAUUAAGGUAUUUAAAAAUAUUUUAAGUUAUAAAAUAUAACUUUUAAUAUUUAAAGGAUAAUUUCAUUAAUAAUUUAAUAUUAAUGAUAUUAAGAUAAUAUUAAUGAUAUUUAGUUUAUUUAAUAAUUAUUAUUAAAUAAAUAGUUUAAAAAUGGUUUUAUUUAUUUAAAAAUCAUUUAAAGAGGAUAUUAAGGAUUUAAAAAUAUUUUAAGUUAUAAUUAAUGACUUUUAAUAUUUGGAUGAAUAGUACAUUAAUAUUUAUAUAUUAAUGGUGAUUAUUUAAAAAUGAUUUUAAUUGUUUUAAAAAUCAUUUAAGGGUAAUAUAAAUGUUUUAAAAAUAGUUUGAGUUAUUAUAAAUAACUUUUAUAUUUUGGCAAUGGUUUCAUUAAUAGUUUAAUAUAAAUUAAUUAUUAAUGAUAAUGGAAUUGUUUAAUGUUUAAAUCAUUUAAUUAUGAUUCCGAUGUUUGAAAGUUAUAGCCGGCCAAACUAGCUGACUUGAGAACCGAUUAUGAAGUUCUGAAUUUGAAGAAGAACACCUAUAGUAACAGUUAUAUCACUAUAGGCCCUUUAGUGACAGAUUUGAAUUAUUUUAAAUUUUUCAAUUUCUGGAAAUUGCGAAAAUGAUUAAAAAUAAGAUGUCUGAUAUUUACAGAUGUUGAGGUAUAGAAUAAGAGUCUUAGACUCAGUAUUUACCCGAUAAAGCUGUCGGUACGCCGACAAAUGUCAGACCUUAUAAAAGAAAGAAAAGACUACUGUAAGAGCAUGGAUGAGAUAUUUGAAAAAUGUAUAAAAAUAUUUCAAGUAUAGAAUAGGAACUAAAAGUAUGAUCACUGUGAUUAUGUGAUUAGACUAUGUGCUGACUGUAAUAGACAGUACUAUGUGUUAAGAUAUAUUGUUCUAAUCGAACGAAUGAUCUGAUUAUUGAUAGGUUGUGAUAAAGAGAUAAAACCUAAGUUGAGAUUUGUAAUCAGCGAAUCAGGCAAGUAUCCUACCUUUGCAUUUCCUUUAUGCAAUGGACAUGAGUAAGAAGUUUCAGAAUUAUUCUAUUCCUGUACAGAUUAUGUACGCUUUGAUUAUCAACAUGUUAGCUCAGAUAUAUAUUCUGUUAAGUUGAUUUCUAAAUGGUUAUACAAGUGUCCCCACUUGGAUAAUCAUGGCAUUUAUUCACAUGUUGAUAUACCUUUGUCAAUUACCCGUAUACAUAUAUGUUGAAUUACAUAUUAUUGUUGAGCAAGAUUAAAAACCUUCGGGUUUGGAACCAGGCAUGUAUGAACAUCCCUAUAUGGGAAGAUUUUUGCGCCCAAGGCGGAUAGAGUGAGCGAUGAAUUUCGUUCAAGUUAUGUAGUAUUGAUCAAUACAGGGUACAACGGGGCUGAUCACCCUCCGUGCCCGUAAGUUAUGACGGUUUGAGGAUGGAUUUCUGCUAAACCUUUUCGAAAAUGAAAAACAAUGUUCAUAGUAUGUUUCUUAAACCCUAUUCAUGGGUGGAGCCUAAUUUCAAGAAAUUGAAAGAGAGUUGUUAUGUGAAUCUUUUAUCAGUACAGAUUACUUCACAACUUUUGAUUCGUUGUAGAAGUGUUAUGUAAAGAGAAUACUUAUAUUCUUUCAGCUUAUAUAUAUAAUUGCUAUUACUUGCUGGGCACUCAAAUGCUCAUCCUUGCUUAAAUUAAAUGUUUUCAGUUAUGUAUGAGCAACCUGAAGGCUCAGGCACGAACAAAGGAAAAGGAAAG
rnacentral:lncRNA from 1 species